rnacentral:misc_RNA from 1 species
GAUGAAGAACGUAGCGAAAUGCGAUAAGUAAUGUGAAUUGCAGAAUUCAGUGAAUCAUCGAAUCUUUGAACGCACCUUGCACCCUUUGGCAUUCCGAAGGGUAUGCUCGUUUGAGUGUCAUUGUACUCUCACACUUCCAAUCUUUGGAUUGGGAGCAGUGGACUUGGGUGUUGCUGCUUACUGUGGCUCACCUCAAAUCGAUUCGUGCACCUCUUGGUUGGACAUAGUACGGCGUGAUAAGUGUCUUCGCCGGCACCUCAGUAGAGGGUGGCUGAUCAGGAGCUCUGUGCUUCAAACCGUCCUCGGACAACAACUGACAACUUGACCUCAAAUCGAGUAGGACUACCCGCUGAACUUAAGCAUAUCAAUAAGCGGGGGA